rnacentral:rRNA from 1 species
UACGUAGGUGGCAAGCGUUGUCCGGAAUUAUUGGGCGUAAAGCGCGCGCAGGUGGUUCCUUAAGUCUGAUGUGAAAGCCCACGGCUCAACCGUGGAGGGUCAUUGGAAACUGGGGAACUUGAGUGCAGAAGAGGAAAGUGGAAUUCCAAGUGUAGCGGUGAAAUGCGUAGAUAUCUGGGGGAACACCGGUGGCGAAGGCGGCAUCCUGGACCAAUAUUGACGCUGAGGAGCGAAAGCUAGGGGAGCAAACGGG